GUUAUAUUGUUAUUCUAAUGAGUUUCACAGCCAUCUCCCGGGUAGUUCCUCGGGUAGAGGAGAAGUGAUCACGUGAUCGGCUAGUUGUGUUGUUUGUGGCGUCAGAUAUAACCAAAUCCCUAUCUCUAAGCCUAAUCCUUACCCUCACCCUAACCCUUACCCUAACCCUUACCCUAACCUCAAAACUAAUCGCUAUAACUAACUGAUGACGUAGUCUGUGAUGCAAAUUCUUCUACCCGAGGAUGUACCCCAAAUAG